rnacentral:rRNA from 1 species
GAGUUUGAUCUUGGCUCAGAUUGAACGCUGGCGGCAGGCUUAACACAUGCAAGUCGAGCGGGGGAGAUUGCUUCGGUAAUUGACCUAGCGGCGGACGGGUGAGUAAUACUUAGGAAUCUGCCUAUUAAUGGGGGACAACAUCUCGAAAGGGAUGCUAAUACCGCAUACGCCCUACGGGGAAAGCAGGGGAUCACUUGUGACCUUGCGUUAAUAGAUGAGCCUAAAGUCGGAUUAGCUAGUUGGUGGGGUAAAGGCCUACCAAGGCGACGAUCUGUAGCGGGUCUGAGAGGAUGAUCCGCCACACUGGGACUGAGACACGGCCCAGACUCCUACGGGAGGCAGCAGUGGGGAAUAUUGGACAAAUGGGGGGAACCCUGAUCCAGCCAUGCCGCGUGUGUGAAGAAAGGCCUUAUGGUUGUAAAAGCACUUUAAGCGAGGAGGAGGCUCCUGUAGUUAAAUACCUACAGAGAGUGGACGUUACUGCAGAAUAAAGCACCGGCUAAACUCUGUGCCAGCCGCCGCGU